UCGGUGUCUCUUUCUCACAACUUAUUUCCUGUGUACUGCGAAAGCAAAAAAGCUAAAUAUAAUGAGGAAGGAGCUUUAAUUACUAGCGGAAGAAAAAGGGGAAGGGCAGAGAGAAAGCUGGAAGAAAGAUUUAAGGUAAGGCACGACAGUAAUUGGAAAACACAACGCUCGUACCAACGAACUGUAGAGACAGACCAGUUUAAUAAUCUGACGGAGGAUCUCAGCAUCGGACAGCAGCACCAUGAAGACGUUUCUGCUGCUCUUCCUCUCACUGAUGACAGGCUGUGAGGCCUCUAUGGUGAAGGGAUGCAGAGGUGGAUGGGUUAAUUUUACCCGCGGACACCCUGAGACAUGGAAAAUAUAUACAAGUAUUAAUGUAGAGGACAAAGAUGGAAAUCAAACAAUAAUUGAAACCAAUGAAAAAAACAUGUGGAUAAGCGAUGGAAGAUUUUCCGUGGAAUUGAAAUUAGAUAACCGCUGCCAGGAAGCAUUAAAUGUAACUGCGUACAGAACAGGUAAAACCACCAUCUCAUUUGAUUACGAAAUAAAUUACGACGACUCCAUGUUUUGCUGCAAAGAGAACGGUUCAAUCUGUAAGGAUAUUUCAACAAAAUCUGCUCAA